UACAUUCCCACGAAUAGUGCACGAGUGUUCUCUUAUCUCCUCAUCCUUGCCAACACAUGUUAUUUCUUGUCUUCUUGAUGCUAGUCAUUCUAACAGUGAGUUUGAUCCAUGCAUGUGAUAAAUCUACAUCUUUUAAGAGAGGUUCUUCAUGUACCUGACAGAAUACCCGCCGCUUCUCACCUUGAUAGACAAAAUUGCGAAAUAACCAAGUACUCACUGUGGCUGAUUCUGGAUACAGCUCCAAAUUUUUCUCAAAUAUGGCUUUCUGGGCAACCACUACCUCAGAUAAAGUAGGCAAGUUAGGGGAAGCCCAUCUUCCAUCCUGGACAUCACAUGAGAAUAAGUCUUGGAAUUAUAAUUUCCUUUUCUCUUCCAAUUUCAAUGAAAGUGAUGAAUUAUCUACAUGGCCACAGGACCUUGAUAACUGCUUUAUUUUCUCUUUAAUGGAAUCGAAGAAUCCACAUGUUCAUGUUAGUGACCUCCAGAAAUUUGUGAAAGGUGCAUUACUGUACUAAUUAUCAAGGGGGAAGCAAUUUUUCACUACAUAUAUUUGGACUAGAAGUUUCCAGUGAAGAAGACCAUUCUAACAGGUGAUAGGUGAUACCUCAUUGUGGUUUUAAUUUGC